UUAAGCGACUAAGCGUACACGGUGGAUGCCCUGGCAGUCAGAGGCGAUGAAGGACGUGCUAAUCUGCGAUAAGCGUCGGUAAGGUGAUAUGAACCGUUAUAACCGGCGAUUUCCGAAUGGGGAAACCCAGUGUGAUUCGUCACACUAUCAUUAACUGAAUCCAUAGGUUAAUGAGGCGAACCGGGGGAACUGAAACAUCUAAGUACCCCGAGGAAAAGAAAUCAACCGAGAUUCCCCCAGUAGCGGCGAGCGAACGGGGAGCAGCCCAGAGCCUGAAUCAGUGUGUGUGUUAGUGGAAGCGUCUGGAAAGGCGUGCGAUACAGGGUGACAGCCCCGUACACAAAAAUGCACAUACUGUGAGCUCGAUGAGUAGGGCGGGACACGUGGUAUCCUGUCUGAAUAUGGGGGGACCAUCCUCCAAGGCUAAAUACUCCUGACUGACCGAUAGUGAACCAGUACCGUGAGGGAAAGGCGAAAAGAACCCCGGCGAGGGGAGUGAAAAAGAACCUGAAACCGUGUACGUACAAGCAGUGGGAGCACAGAGCAAUCUGUGUGACUGCGUACCUUUUGUAUAAUGGGUCAGCGACUUAUAUUCUGUAGCAAGGUUAACCGAAUAGGGGAGCCGAAGGGAAACCGAGUCUUAACUGGGCGUUAAGUUGCAGGGUAUAGACCCGAAACCCGGUGAUCUAGCCAUGGGCAGGUUGAAGGUUGGGUAACACUAACUGGAGGACCGAACCGACUAAUGUUGAAAAAUUAGCGGAUGACUUGUGGCUGGGGGUGAAAGGCCAAUCAAACCGGGAGAUAGCUGGUUCUCCCCGAAAGCUAUUUAGGUAGCGCCUCGUGAAUUCAUCUCCGGGGGUAGAGCACUGUUUCGGCAAGGGGGUCAUCCCGACUUACCAACCCGAUGCAAACUGCGAAUACCGGAGAAUGUUAUCACGGGAGACACACGGCGGGUGCUAACGUCCGUCGUGAAGAGGGAAACAACCCAGACCGCCAGCUAAGGUCCCAAAGUCAUGGUUAAGUGGGAAACGAUGUGGGAAGGCCCAGACAGCCAGGAUGUUGGCUUAGAAGCAGCCAUCAUUUAAAGAAAGCGUAAUAGCUCACUGGUCGAGUCGGCCUGCGCGGAAGAUGUAACGGGGCUAAACCAUGCACCGAAGCUGCGGCAGCGACGCUGAUGCGUUGUUGGGUAGGGGAGCGUUCUGUAAGCCUGCGAAGGUGUGCUGUGAGGCAUGCUGGAGGUAUCAGAAGUGCGAAUGCUGACAUAAGUAACGAUAAAGCGGGUGAAAAGCCCGCUCGCCGGAAGACCAAGGGUUCCUGUCCAACGUUAAUCGGGGCAGGGUGAGUCGACCCCUAAGGCGAGGCCGAAAGGCGUAGUCGAUGGGAAACAGGUUAAUAUUCCUGUACUUGGUGUUACUGCGAAGGGGGGACGGAGAAGGCUAUGUUGGCCGGGCGACGGUUGUCCCGGUUUAAGCGUGUAGGCUGGUUUUCCAGGCAAAUCCGGAAAAUCAAGGCUGAGGCGUGAUGACGAGGCACUACGGUGCUGAAGCAACAAAUGCCCUGCUUCCAGGAAAAGCCUCUAAGCAUCAGGUAACAUCAAAUCGUACCCCAAACCGACACAGGUGGUCAGGUAGAGAAUACCAAGGCGCUUGAGAGAACUCGGGUGAAGGAACUAGGCAAAAUGGUGCCGUAACUUCGGGAGAAGGCACGCUGAUAUGUAGGUGAAGUCCCUCGCGGAUGGAGCUGAAAUCAGUCGAAGAUACCAGCUGGCUGCAACUGUUUAUUAAAAACACAGCACUGUGCAAACACGAAAGUGGACGUAUACGGUGUGACGCCUGCCCGGUGCCGGAAGGUUAAUUGAUGGGGUCAGCGCAAGCGAAGCUCUUGAUCGAAGCCCCGGUAAACGGCGGCCGUAACUAUAACGGUCCUAAGGUAGCGAAAUUCCUUGUCGGGU
rnacentral:rRNA from 1 species